UACGAAGGGUGCAAGCGUUACUCGGAAUUACUGGGCGUAAAGCGUGCGUAGGUGGUCGUUUAAGUCCGUUGUGAAAGCCCUGGGCUCAACCUGGGAACUGCAGUGGAUACUGGGCGACUAGAAUGUGGUAGAGGGUAGCGGAAUUCCUGGUGUAGCAGUGAAAUGCGUAGAGAUCAGGAGGAACAUCCAUGGCGAAGGCAGCUACCUGGACCAACAUUGACACUGAGGCACGAAAGCGUGGGGGAGCAAACAGGAUUAGAUACCCUGGCAGUCCACGCCCUAAACGAUGCGAACUGGAUGUUGGGUGCAAUUUGGCACGCAGUAUCGAAGCUAACGCGUUAAGUUCGCCGCCUGGGGAGUACGGUCGCAAGACUGAAACUC
rnacentral:rRNA from 1 species